rnacentral:rRNA from 1 species
UACCAGCACCCCGAGUGGUCGGGACGUUUUAUUGGGCCUAAAGCAUCCGUAGCCGGUUCUACAAGUCUUCCGUUAAAUCCAUCUGCUUAACAGAUGGGCUGCGGAAGAUACUAUAGAGCUAGGAGGCGGGAGAGGCAAGCGGUACUCGAUGGGUAGGGGUAAAAUCCGUUGAUCCAUUGAAGACCACCAGUGGCGAAGGCGGCUUGCCAGAACGCGCUCGACGGUGAGGGAUGAAAGCUGGGGGGAGCAAACCGGG